rnacentral:rRNA from 1 species
GAUGAACGCUGGCGGCGUGCCUAAUACGUGCAAGUCGAGCGAAUGGAUUAAGAGCUUGCUCUUAUGAAGUUAGCGGCGGACGGGUGAGUAACACGUGGGUAACCUGCCCAUAAGACUGGGAUAACUCCGGGAAACCGGGGCUAAUACCGGAUAAUAUUUUGAACUGCAUGGUUCAAAAUCGAAAGGCGGCUUCGGCUGUCACUUAUGGAUGGACCCGCGUCGCAUUAGCUAGUUGGUGAGGUAACGGCUCACCAAGGCAACGAUGCGUAGCCGACCUGAGAGGGUGAUCGGCCACACUGGGACUGAGACACGGCCCAGACUCCUACGGGAGGCAGCAGUAGGGAAUCUUCCGCAAUGGACGAAAGUCUGACGGAGCAACGCCGCGUGAGUGAUGAAGGCUUUCGGGUCGUAAAACUCUGUUGUUAGGGAAGAACAAGUGCUAGUUGAAUAAGCUGGCACCUUGACGGUACCUAACCAGAAAGCCACGGCUAACUACGUGCCAGCCGCCGCGGUAA